rnacentral:rRNA from 1 species
GAUGAACGCUGGCGGCGUGCCUAAUACAUGCAAGUCGAGCGAACAGACGAGGAGCUUGCUCCUUUGACGUUAGCGGCGGACGGGUGAGUAACACGUGGAUAACCUACCUAUAAGACUGGGAUAACUUCGGGAAACCGGAGCUAAUACCGGAUAACAUGUUGAACCGCAUGGUUCAACAGUGAAAGACGGUCUUGCUGUCACUUAUAGAUGGAUCCGCGCCGCAUUAGCUAGUUGGUAGGGUAACGGCUUACCAAGGCAACGAUGCGUAGCCGACCUGAGAGGGUGAUCGGCCACACUGGAACUGAGACACGGUCCAGACUCCUACGGGAGGCAGCAGUAGGGAAUCUUCCGCAAUGGGCGAAAGCCUGACGGAGCAACGCCGCGUGAGUGAAGAAGGUCUUCGGAUCGUAAAACUCUGUUAUUAGGGAAGAACAAAUGUGUAAGUAACUAUGCACGUCUUGACGGUACCUAAUCAGAAAGCCACGGCUAACUACGUG